GACGAACGAUGGCGGCGUGCUUAACACAUGCAAGUCGAGCGAUGAAGCUUCUUCGGAAGUGGAUUAGCGGCGGACGGGUGAGUAACACGUGGGUAACCUGCCUCACAGAGGGGAAUAGCCUUCCGAAAGGAAGAUUAAUACCGCAUAAGAUUGUAAUGACGCAUGAUAUAGCAAUUAAAGGAGCAAACCGCGAUGAGAUGGACCCGCGUCGCAUUAGCUAGUUGGUGAGGUAACGGCUCACCAAGGCGACGAGGCGUAGCCGACCUGAGAGGGUGAUCGGCCACAUUGGGACUGAGACACGGCCCAGACUCCUACGGGAGGCAGCAGUGGGGAAUAUUGCACAAUGGGGCAAACCCUGAUGCAGCAACGCCGCGUGAGUGAUGACGGUCUUCGGAUUGUAAAGCUCUGUCUUUAGGGACGAUAAUGACGGUACCUAAGGAGGAAGCCACGGCUAACUACGUGCCAGCCGCCGCCGUAA
rnacentral:rRNA from 1 species